UGGGGAAUAUUGCACAAUGGGCGCAAGCCUGAUGCAGCGACGCCGCGUGAGGGAUGACGGCCUUCGGGUUGUAAACCUCUUUCAGCUCCGACGAAGCGCAAGUGACGGUAGGAGCAGAAGAAGCACCGGCCAACUACGUGCCAGCAGCCGCGGUAAUACGUAGGGUGCAAGCGUUGUCCGGAAUUACUGGGCGUAAAGAGCUCGUAGGCGGUUUGUCGCGUCGUCUGUGAAAUUCUGCAGCUUAACUGCAGGCGUGCAGGCGAUACGGGCAGACUUGAGUACUACAGGGGAGACUGGAAUUCCUGGUGUAGCGGUGAAAUGCGCAGAUAUCAGGAGGAACACCGGUGGCGAAGGCGGGUCUCUGGGUAGUAACUGACGCUGAGGCACGAAAGCGUGGGGAGCAAACAGG
rnacentral:rRNA from 1 species